GUAGGGGGGGCAAGCGUUGCUCGGAAUUACUGGGCGUAAAGGGUGUGUAGGGUGGCUGAGCAAGUCAAAGAUGAAAUCCCGAGGCUCAACUUCGGAAUUGUUUUUGAAACUGUUCAGCUUGAGGAUAGUCGAGGAGAACGGAAUUCCCGGUGGAGCGGUGAAAUGCGUUGAUAUCGGGAGGAACACCAGAGGCGAAGGCGGUUCUCUGGGCUAUUCCUGACACUGAAACACGAAAGCUAGGGGAGCAAACGGGAUUAGAUACCCCGGUAGUCCUAGCCGUAAACGAUGGGCACCAGAUGUUCUUACUUUAUGUGGGAGUGUCGAAGCUAACGCGUUAAGUGCCCCGCCUGGGGAGUACGGUCGCAAAGGCUG
rnacentral:rRNA from 1 species